rnacentral:rRNA from 1 species
UACGAAGGGGGCGAGCGUUGUUCGGAUUUACUGGGCGUAAAGGGCGCGUAGGCGGCCCUCUUUGUCGCGUGUGAAAGCCCCGGGCUCAACCUGGGAAUUGCGCGCGAAACGGGGGGGCUGGAGUUCGGGAGAGGAGCGUGGAAUUCCCAGUGUAGAGGUGAAAUUCGUAGAUAUCGGGAGGAACACCUGUGGCGAAAGCGGCGCACUGGACCACAUCUGACGCUGAGGCGCGAAAGCUAGGGGAGCAAACAG